AGAACGAACGCUGGCGGCGUGGAUAAGACAUGCAAGUCGAACGGAGCAUUCUGGUAGCAAUAUCAGGAUGCUUAGUGGCAAACGGGUGCGUAACACGUAGGUUACAUUCCGGAAAGUGUGGGAUAGCCCAGGGAAACUUGGAUUAAUACCGCAUGUGAUCGCAAGAUCAAAGGUGGCAACACCGCUUUCCGAUUGGCCUGCGCCCUAUCAGCUAGUUGGUGAGGUAAAAGCUCACCAAGGCAACGACGGGUAGCUGGUCUGAGAGGACGACCAGCCACACUGGAACUGAGACACGGUCCAGACACCUACGGGUGGCAGCAGUCGAGAAUCUUUCACAAU
rnacentral:rRNA from 1 species